CUUAUGGAGGAAGAGAUUAAAUUUUCAAAUGAGGAAGGCGUGGUUUCACUGCGCCUGGAAAUUGCAAAAAGGCUUUUAAGAGAAACUGAUGACCUUUCACAGCUCUGUCGUUCAUGUGGAGAGCAUCAUAGGGACAAAGGCCAAACUGUGCAAUGGAUUGAAUGUACAGAAUGUGGAAGGUGGUACCAUUGGGACUGUGUGGGUAGACCUUCCACUGUUGGCAAAUACAGCUGCCCUGCGUGCUUGUAAUGUUUUUGUCCUGCCUUUUUUUUCACCUGUUUUUACUGCUGUUAUGUUAACGUUGCUAAUAAAUGCCGUGGGUUAUUCACUGGA